GCAGUGUAGCACUCGCGCCCUUGGGGGCUAGCGUUUGGCCGGAGCUACACACUCUUUACUCACGCACGCACACCGCCGUACACAGCACAAUCGUUCACCGUCCCGCCAAAGGCUCGUCUCUCGGGUUCUGCCUAGUGGAAGGAGUCGGACAACGCCGCACGUCACGGGCGUUUCGGAUUUCUUGCUUCCCAAAGGUUUGACGGCGGCCACCGGCGCCCCGGCCCAGCUCUGCUUUCCUUUGCUGACUCCUUCCUUUAGGUGUGAAUUUUAAAAUGCUGAUACCGCCCCAAGAGAGCUGAGUCAAGUGAGGCAAACGUUCGCCUGUUGUUCUCCUGACAGACUCCCUGCAGUGGGCAGGGGAAAUGUGGCCUUGGCCGACAUUAAUGAAGUGCCAGGAUGGAGGGAGGGGGCCUGCUGAUUUGUUCUGUUUUACUUUUUAAGGGUAACUAGAGCGUUACUGGAGUCGUCUGUGGGUUUGGGGAGUAUGUGGCGCGUGUGUGUGUCACACAUUUCACUGGCAACUCCCGCCAACCCCUUCCCAAGAAAUGAAGGCUCUAAUGUGGGCAGUUCUGCAACAAAGGUGAAACUUCCCCAAAUCACGAUUCCCCGCAAGAUGAGAGAGCAGGUGCAGCAUCCAUUUUCCCACUAUCACGCUUGAGAUGGUGGCUUUGGGCACUGCCGGGUGCCCCGACAUCCUUCCCAGAGCCCAGCCUUCCCACCCAGGCCCGGCCCUGCGCGGCCGCCUGCCUUUGCAUCAGAGACCGCGGCUGUGCCAUUGCCAAGGUGGGCAGCGCCGCCUCGCUUCCCCAUUCCUCCGUCUCCCACGCCUCUUGCGUGUUUGAGUCGCGAAGUGAUGGACUUUAAAUCUCAGAGGAGGAAUGAGAAACUUGGUUAGUGGCUCUCUUGGCAUGUUCGUAGCCCUGUGGUUGAAGUGGCUGAAACCUGCGUUGAGCCUCAGUCCAAGCAGCUGGGGCCACACCAGUUUGCAAAAGCGGAUGUGGCAGUUUCCACCGCAGCAGCAGCCUGCUGGCGCCUCAUCAGAUUCUCCUUUGGAGGAAGUAUCUUCUUCCCUUCAUUCUCGGUGAAUGGCAUCCAGAGAUAACCAAAAUCAGGUGUAUCUAGUUUCAAGUUCUGUCUUGCAACCGUGAUAAUUGGAGGAUGCAAACUUUACACUUUCUUCUCUAGCUGUCUACCACCACUGCUGCGCUUGUGGAUGACUGCAGGAACACCGGGUACUUGCCACAAGUAUCUCUCCAGAUUCAUCAGCCUUUCACCUGUGACAAGCUCAGUCAAGAAGUGGCUCCUAAGUAAAAGCUGGGGAAGAACAAGGAAGAUAGAGCUCAGAGUAGAAAGCUGUGAAGUUCUGCACAACAGGUCCCCUUGGCCUGCUCUAACAGUUGGAAGGCAUGGUAGCUCAUGUGGAAGCUUCCCGAGGCCCUCACCCAGAAGCAGAUGCUGGAGCCAUGCUUGUACAGCUUGCAGAACUAAAGCCCAGCUGGCUUGGUUCCAUGAAUCUUUGCCCUUCUUUCCAUCCACUUCUUCCUGCUUGGACAUUGGUUACCUGGAGAAGCAGAAGCCAUUUUAAGAUGAUGAAAGCAAAAGUUAAAUGUAUGAGAUGAUGGUGCAGAAAGCCAAAAGGGGCCUCCAGAACACUGAGCUUUGUGGAGUCGUGUACCAUAGCUGUAUUGCCGACCUCUGAACUUCCUGCUGAGAUAAAAAACAAUCCUUAUGUGUUUAUACUACUUUUAUUUCAGUUUCUUUUAAGUAUAGCAAACACAUUCCAAAUAAUAUGCAUCUGAAGUUUUUGGUUUUGUUUUUAAAUUUUUUUUUUAGGGAUGGGUUCUGGCUGCGUAGUGGCUAGAGUGUAGUGGCUAUUCUUAGGUGCGGUCAUAGCUCACUACAGCCUCUAACUGGCCUCAAGCAAUCCUCCCACCUCAGCUUCCAGGGUAGCUGGGAUUACAGGAGAGCACCACACUGAAGUUUCUGUUAAAUAGAAUGUUUGCUGUAGAUUUUUAGUUGAUGUCCUCUGUUAGGUUGAAAACCUUCCUUUAUUUUCUUGUGAAAUUUCUAAGAGAUUUUUAAAUCAUUAACUGGUAUUGAACUUUAUAAAAUGAUUUUUCUGUGUCUGAGAUGAUCAUGUGAUUAUUUUUCCUGUUUAUGUCCCUUGAUGUGAUGAUUUUUAUUGUAGAUCUUCCUUUAUUGAACCAAAUUUACGUUAUUUAUAUUAACCCUAUUUGAUUGUAAUAUAUUUUUAGUAGGGUAUUAGACUCUGUUACCUAACAUUUUACUUAGCAUUAUUUUGCAUCUAUGUUCAUAAGUAAAAUAGGAGUUUUUUUCUUUAUGUGACUAGGUAUCAACAUUAUAUUGGCCUUAUAAAUUAUGUUGAACACUU
rnacentral:lncRNA from 1 species